AAACUUUCAACAACGGAUCUCUUGGUUCUGGCAUCGAUGAAGAACGCAGCGAAAUGCGAUAAGUAAUGUGAAUUGCAGAAUUCAGUGAAUCAUCGAAUCUUUGAACGCACAUUGCGCCCCGUGGUAUUCCGCAGGGCAUGCCUGUUCGAGCGUCAUUU
rnacentral:rRNA from 1 species